rnacentral:rRNA from 1 species
AUGAACGCUGGUGGCGUGCCUAAUACCUGCAAGUCGAGCGAACAGACGAGGAGCUUGCUCCUCUGACGUUAGCGGCGGACGGGUGAGUAACACGUGGAUAACCUACCUAUAAGACUGGGAUAACUUCGGGAAACCGGAGCUAAUACCGGAUAAUAUAUUGAACCGCAUGGUUCAAUAGUGAAAGACGGUUUUGCUGUCACUUAUAGAUGGAUCCGCGCCGCAUUAGCUAGUUGGUAAGGUAACGGCUUACCAAGGCAACGAUGCGUAGCCGACCUGAGAGGGUGAUCGGCCACACUGGAACUGAGACACGGUCCAGACUCCUACGGGAGGCAGCAGUAGGGAAUCUUCCGCAAUGGGCGAAAGCCUGACGGAGCAACGCCGCGUGAGUGAUGAAGGUCUUCGGAUCGUAAAACUCUGUUAUUAGGGAAGAACAAAUGUGUAAGUAACUAUGCACGUCUUGACGGUACCUAAUCAGAAAGCCACGGCUAACUACGUG